AGUGAGAGACAAAGAGAUUGGAGUGAGAGACAAAGCACUCCAAUCUCUUUGUCUCUCUCUCCAAUCUCUUUGUCUCUCACUCCAAUCUCUUUGUCUCUCACUCCAA
rnacentral:pre_miRNA from 1 species